AGAGUUUGAUCAUGGCUCAGGACGAACGCUGGCGGCACGCUUAACACAUGCAAGUCGAACGAGAGAAGAGGAGCUUGCUUUUCUGAUCUAGUGGCGGACGGGUGAGUAACACGUGAGCAAUCUGCCUUUCAGAGGGGGAUACCGAUUGGAAACGAUCGUUAAUACCGCAUAACAUAAUUGAACCGCAUGAUUUGAUUAUCAAAGAUUUAUCGCUGAAAGAUGAGCUCGCGUCUGAUUAGCUAGUUGGUAAGGUAACGGCUUACCAAGGCGACGAUCAGUAGCCGGACUGAGAGGUUGAUCGGCCACAUUGGGACUGAGACACGGCCCAGACUCCUACGGGAGGCAGCAGUGGGGAAUAUUGCACAAUGGAGGAAACUCUGAUGCAGCGAUGCCGCGUGAGGGAAGAAGGUUUUAGGAUUGUAAACCUCUGUCUUCAGGGACGAAAAAAGACGGUACCUGAGGAGGAAGCUCCGGCUAACUACGUGCCAGCAGCCGCGGUAAUACGUAGGGAGCGAGCGUUGUCCGGAAUUACUGGGUGUAAAGGGAGCGUAGGCGGGAUCGCAAGUCAGAUGUGAAAACUAUGGGCUUAACCCAUAAACUGCAUUUGAAACUGUGGUUCUUGGGUGAAGUAGAGGUAAGCGGAAUUCCUAGUGUAGCGGUGAAAUGCGUAGAUAUUAGGAGGAACAUCAGUGGCGAAGGCGGCUUACUGGGCUUUAACUGACGCUGAGGCUCGAAAGCGUGGGGAGCAAACAGGAUUAGAUACCCUGGUAGUCCACGCCGUAAACGAUGAUUACUAGGUGUGGGGGGACUGACCCCUUCCGUGCCGCAGCAAACGCAAUAAGUAAUCCACCUGGGGAGUACGACCGCAAGGUUGAAACUCAAAGGAAUUGACGGGGGCCCGCACAAGCAGUGGAGUAUGUGGAUUAAUUCGAAGCAACGCGAAGAACCUUACCAGGUCUUGACAUCGUAUGCAUAGCUCAGAGAUGAGUGAAAUCUCUUCGGAGACAUAUAGACAGGUGGUGCAUGGUUGUCGUCAGCUCGUGUCGUGAGAUGUUGGGUUAAGUCCCGCAACGAGCGCAACCCUUACUGUUAGUUGCUACGCAAGAGCACUCUAGCAGGACUGCCGUUGACAAAACGGAGGAAGGUGGGGAUGACGUCAAAUCAUCAUGCCCCUUAUGACCUGGGCCUCACACGUACUACAAUGGCUGUCAACAGAGGGAAGCAAAGCCGCGAGGUGGAGCGAACCCCUAAAAGCAGUCUUAGUUCGGAUUGUAGGCUGCAACCCGCCUACAUGAAGUCGGAAUUGCUAGUAAUCGCAGAUCAGCAUGCUGCGGUGAAUACGUUCCCGGGCCUUGUACACACCGCCCGUCACGCCAUGGGAGUCGGUAACACCCGAAGCCUGUAGUCUAACCGCAAGGAGGACGCAGUCGAAGGUGGGAUUGAUGACUGGGGUGAAGUCGUAACAAGGUA
rnacentral:rRNA from 1 species